ACGUAAUGUGAAUUGCAGAAUUCAGCGAACCAUCGAAUCUUUGAACGCACAUUGCGCCCGCCAGCAUUCUGGCGGGCAUGCCUGUCCGAGCGUCAUUU
rnacentral:rRNA from 1 species